AACUAUGGUCGACUCUCUACAGCAAUGGUGUGGCUGCAAAGAUGGAUAGCUAAUCAAAGACACAGGAUCACCCUGUAUAGUCUAAGAUGGAUUCACAAGGAAUUCCUUCCUUUAAGUGAGAUCAAUGUUCCUUUAGCUGAACAGAGAAAGCUUGAAGACUUGAAACAACUUGAGAAAAUAAUUCUUAGAUUGAAAGUUGAAUGAAAAAAACAAAGUAGGCUGCUUGCACAGUCUUAAAGAAAUCGACAGAAAUCAAAAGAAAACCCUAGGGUUAAACCAGAUGGUUUAAUCAUAAUCCUAAAACUAAUUAAAAUCGAAAUUGGUCUAAUUUAAAUCCUAACCCUACCCAAACUUGGUUUAUUGUUUCUGGUUUAAAUUAAAUGAAAGCCCAAUAACCAAAAACAUUACAAUUUAAUUAAAUUGAACCAACAGGCUGGUUUGUCUUGGUUAUCUCCCUUGCAAACAUCUCCCACGAUUUGGCUAAGUGUAGGAGACUCUUCUCUUGUGCUCUCAGCCUUGAUCUAGUCAUUGGUCCAAUCCACACACUAGCUGGCUCUCCUGGUAUCUCUCUCUGGUUCUGGUUCUGGUCUUGGUUCUCCUCAUCAGUAGCCUCCUCAUCAGUGUCUCUCAGCUUCUCCUCAAGGUCUCUGGUCAUGGCUAUACCAGGAUCACUGGAGACUUUGUCGAUUUCAAACUUUUCAUUGUUAGAGACUAUCUGCUGGGGUGGUAACAUCCAGAAUCUGAAGACGCUAAGCAAAUAGAUUGCUGUCCGAAAAUAACAUCACUUUUCUCGGAUGCCUAGCAGCCUAGCGGAGCUGAACAUAAACUAUUGUGAGAAGCUUGAGAAAGUUGUUGAAGGAGUCCAACUGUCAAGUAGCCUGAAAUUGCAAGUCAAGAAUUGCCCAAAGUUGCCGGAAACUUCAGAAAGCUCGGACUGGGUUAUUGUAGAACCCCCUGAAGUAUCACCACAAGAGUGAAAGAUCACUGAAGUAGAUGGAGCAACAUGAUCUACUUUGCUUUGCACUAAGCAUCUGGAUUGUUGUUACCUGUAAUGAUUUACAUACUUCGCCCGCGUGUAUCUGAAUAACGACCGGCUUUGAAACAUCAUCUUACCGGCCUUGGUCUGUUUAUUUUGUAAGAUAUUUUCUGCAUAGCAUCACAUACAUGGUGUUUUCUUUUUGUCUGGGUGAACAAGACUUUGAGUACAAUGGUCAUGUUUUAGAAGACAUUUAUUUGAUUACAUAAAAUAGAAAUGUUUAUUUAUUCAGUGUUAUACACAAGCUCUAAAGAAGUUAGAAAGGCUUUUUGCCCUUAAUGAAACAAGAGAAAUAAAUAAGUGUUAUUGGAAAUACUUAGUGAUGUCUAUGGAUGUGAUCUCCAGACACCAUGACCAUCUGUGGGACAGAAUGCGACUUUCGGGCAUUUAAAUUUCUCCAACAGCUUCAGUCGUGGAAACAGUGUCUGCAGAUCUUUCCACUCAGCCUUGAAUUCAUGCCGGCUUUGGUGCAGGUGAAGAAAAUGAUAUUAUGAUCCUAGGUUAUGGGUUUUAUCCAUUCUUAAUUAGCAAAACUCAAAUUGGUAUUCCAUAGUUUGCAUGUGAAAGGAUGUACAAUAUCUAAUUAGGUAAUAAAUAAAAUAUAAAGAAUAUUGUACCUUACAAAGUCUGUUGUCUAAAAAGUGACGUUCACGUAUGAUUGUAUCCAACACUUUAUGAAGUGAUCCUCUGUUUCUGAAUAAAAUAAAAAAACACUAAAGAGAAAUCUUGCUUUAUAUAACUACUUCGUGGCAUCGAAGCUGGCUUGCAGUCUGAAACAAACAACAAUGAAGAAAGCAUCCGAUACAGUUGUUCUUUGUUUCCAAGAAAGGGAACAGAAGAAACUCAUUAUGUGGAAAAAGCAAAGUAUCCAUAUCCAUGCAAAACACAUGGUUCUAACUUCUAAUUAACCUUACAUAACUGAUAACCCCAUGGUUAAACCAAAAAUUUAAUCUAUCAUAUCAACUUCUUACCGAUUUCUUCAAAAAGCUUAUAAAAAUCUCCUAAAUUAUGAAGCCAUUACUUUUUUGAAGCCCUAAGUUAAUACGAAACCCAUAAUUAUCUCGUGUAGGUCAAAGUUCACGCGAAUCAGAAUUUCAUCUCUCUAGGGGUGGACGUUCAUUUGGUUCAGCUCAAUUCGAAUUUCCGGUUUCCGAGGUCAAAUAUUUUAGUGCCAUUUGGAUAUUUCUAAAUUUUGGUUUGGAUCUUUCCAGGUUUGAUUCGGGUUUGGA